CAAUAGCGUAUAUUAAAGUUGUUGCAGUUAAAAAGCUCGUAGUUGGAUUUCUGAGGGGAAACUGAUGUCGGCUGAUGCUUGCGCAGAAGUUUCUUCUCAUCCUUCUGUUAACGUUUCUUGACAUUCAUUUGUUGGUUUCGGGCUCAGAUAUUUUACCUUGAGAAAAUUAGAGUGUUUCAGGCAGGCUUGCGCCGGAAUACAUUAGCAUGGAAUAAUAGAAUACGACUUUUGUCUCUUUUGUUGGUUUGAGGGACUGAAGUAAUGAUUAAUAGGGAUAGUUGGGGGCAUUAGUAUUUAAUUGUCAGAGGUGAAAUUCUCGGAUUUGUUAAAGACUAACCUAUGCGAAAGCAUUUGCCAAGGAUGUUUUCAUUAAUCAAGAACGAAAGUUAGGGGAUCAAAGACGAUCAGAUACCAU
rnacentral:rRNA from 1 species